CUCUGGCAGGGCAAUGCACUCUUUAUGCAGAGCUCACAAAAAACCUUCUUGACAAGUGGUCUACUCGAUGUGGUGAGUGGGUGGCUUCUAUAAACCAAGAUCCCGAUUUUCCACAUGAUGCUUGCUACACGGGCCCACUGGUGUGCUCAUAAUCCUAUUUCCUCCACAAUCCCAGAUGAUUAAAAAGGGAACGAUGGCAGUAGAAUAAAUAUUCUAGUGUUUCCCUAACAUUUGUUAAUGUGAUGUCAAAGUUUUUGUAAUAGAGGCUACACAUUUUCAAUAAAUCAUACAUUGCAUCAUUUUUUGGCUUCUAAUGAUAACUUUAUCGUACAUUUGAAGAUGUUUGUAUUUAUGCAAAUUUUUAC